rnacentral:rRNA from 1 species
UGGGGAAUAUUGCACAAUGGGCGCAAGCCUGAUGCAGCCAUGCCGCGUGUAUGAAGAAGGCCUUCGGGUUGUAAAGUACUUUCAGCGGGGAGGAAGGCGAUAAGGUUAAUAACCUUGUCGAUUGACGUUACCCGCAGAAGAAGCACCGGCUAACUCCGUGCCAGCAGCCGCGGUAAUACGGAGGGUGCAAGCGUUAAUCGGAAUUACUGGGCGUAAAGCGCACGCAGGCGGUCUGUCAAGUCGGAUGUGAAAUCCCCGGGCUCAACCUGGGAACUGCAUUCGAAACUGGCAGGCUAGAGUCUUGUAGAGGGGGGUAGAAUUCCAGGUGUAGCGGUGAAAUGCGUAGAGAUCUGGAGGAAUACCGGUGGCGAAGGCGGCCCCCUGGACAAAGACUGACGCUCAGGUGCGAAAGCGUGGGAAGCAAACA